rnacentral:rRNA from 1 species
UUACACAAAUAUGAAGGCGGGCUGGAACCUCUCGGGGUUACAGCCUUGCUGAAUUAUUCACCCUUGUCUUUUGCGUACUUCUUGUUUCCUUGGUGGGUUCGCCCACCACUAGGACAAACAUAAACCUUUUGUAAUUGCAAUCAGCGUCAGUAACAAAUUAAUAAUUACAACUUUCAACAACGGAUCUCUUGGUUCUGGCAUCGAUGAAGAACGCAGCGAAAUGCGAUAAGUAGUGUGAAUUGCAGAAUUCAGUGAAUCAUCGAAUCUUUGAACGCACAUUGCGCCCUUUGGUAUUCCAAAGGGCAUGCCUGUUCGAGCGUCAUUUGUACCCUCAAGCUUUGCUUGGUGUUGGGCGUCUUGUCUCUAGCUUUGCUGGAGACUCGCCUUAAAGUAAUUGGCAGCCGGCCUACUGGUUUCGGAGCGCAGCACAAGUCGCACUCUCUAUCAGCAAAGGUCUAGCAUCCAUUAAGCCUUUUUUUCAACUUUUGACCUCGGAUCAGGUAGGGAUACCCGCUGAACUUAAGCAUAUCA